rnacentral:rRNA from 1 species
CCCCUAGACGUUCUGGGCUGCACGCGCGCUACAAUAAUACGCACAGCGAGUAUCACCGAGCUCGAAAGGGCAAGGUAACAAUAGAAAAGGUACUGUAAUGGUUAUAGAUCCUUGUAAUUAUUGAUCUUCAACGAGGAAUUCCUAGUAAGUAUGUGUCAUCAUCACGCACUGAUUACGUCCCUGCCCUUUGUACACACCGCCCGUCGCUCCUACCGAUUGGGUGAGCCGAUGAAACUCUCGGAUGUAGGCUAUUCAUAGCCCGCAGAAGAGAUUUGAAUCGUAGCGCUUAGAGGAAGGAGAAGUCGUAACA